rnacentral:rRNA from 1 species
AGCGAACGCUGGCGGCAGGCCUAACACAUGCAAGUCGAACGAACCUUUCGGGGUUAGUGGCGGACGGGUGAGAAACACGUGGGAACGUGCCUUUAGGUUCGGAAUAACUCAGGGAAACUUGUGCUAAUACCGAAUGUGCCCUUCGGGGGAAAGAUUUAUCGCCUUUAGAGCGGCCCGCGUCUGAUUAGCUAGUUGGUUGAGGUAAUGGCUCACCAAGGCGACGAGCAGUAGCUGGUCUGAGAGGAUGAUCAGCCACAUUGGGACUGAGACACGGCCCAAACUCCUACGGGAGGCAGCAGUGGGGAAUCUUGCGCAAUGGGCGAAAGCCUGACGCAGCCAUGCCGCGUGAAUGAUGAAGGUCUUAGGAUUGUAAAAUUCUUUCACCGGGGACGAUAAUGACGGUACCCGGAGAAGAAGCCCCGGCUAACUUCGUG